AUGCACAACUGGCUGAAGACUAGAAGGAUACCCAGGGUGCAAUGGCUGCAAAUAGUACCUCUUUGGUAGUGUAUGCAGCCUGUUGAUUGUAUGGGUUCCCCAAGGGACCUUGGAGACAGGC
ensembl:snoRNA SNORA70 Small nucleolar RNA SNORA70